CUCAUCAGUCGCUCAGUAGUCAGUGUAGAUUCUGUUUCUUCAGCAGUCAGCAGCUACAUCUGGCUACUGGGUCUCUGAAGACAUCUUGUAGCAGCUU
ensembl:miRNA